rnacentral:rRNA from 1 species
GACGAACGCUGGCGGCGUGCUUAACACAUGCAAGUCGAACGGAAAGGCCCUGCUUUUGUGGGGUGCUCGAGUGGCGAACGGGUGAGUAACACGUGAGUAACCUGCCCUUGACUUUGGGAUAACUUCAGGAAACUGGGGCUAAUACCGGAUAGGAGCUCCUGCUGCAUGGAGGGGGUUGGAAAGUUUCGGCGGUUGGGGAUGGACUCGCGGCUUAUCAGCUUGUUGGUGGGGUAGUGGCUUACCAAGGCUUUGACGGGUAGCCGGCCUGAGAGGGUGACCGGCCACAUUGGGACUGAGAUACGGCCCAGACUCCUACGGGAGGCAGCAGUGGGGAAUAUUGCACAAUGGGCGGACGCCUGAUGCAGCAACGCCGCGUGCGGGAUGACGGCCUUCGGGUUGUAAACCGCUUUCGCCUGUGACGAAGCGUGAGUGACGGUAAUGGGUAAAGAAGCACCGGCUAACUACGUG